UCAUUGAUGGUCUUAGAGAAAGGAUCUCUACUUUGACUGGUAAGAACAUGAAGGAGCUUAAGAAAUUUCCAAGACAGUUGGCUGCUUACGUAACUAGAACAAUUGGAGAAGCUAGGAAAUGCCCACAUAAACUACGUAAGGGCACCUAUUGCAGAAAGAAAGUUCAUCAUUUUUUUCCAAAUCUCAAAUCUUUCCUAUGGAAAGGAACAUUCCUCUUCAAGUGGGGGCUGUGGGCAUGACAAGUAAAGAAAAUGAACUGGCUUGUGCAGGCCACCUGCCAGAAAAAUUACACCAUGAUAGUUAAAUAUAUCUGGUUAACUCCAGUGAUUCUGAUUUUUUAGACAGCCUAUUAUCAAAAUAUGGCGGGCUUUCCCUAAGGUUUCGCAGGACCAUGAAACAGUUGCACAAGUUCUGCUGAACAUGAAUUUGAGAUUGAAAGUAGCUUUAAUUUUUUGCAGAAAAAGAUGUGUGAGUGAAUUUGUACCUUAUUUGGUGAGGAUAGGAGAUCUUGGAGUUUGGUGGAUUGCCUUCUCGUGCUCACCAAUAGUUUACAGGAAGAAAAGCAAUACACCUUACAUGGCUGCUGUAUAGAUUUGGUACCACUAGCAAAGUCACUACUUAAAAGCAAAUUUGAAGAAAAUAUGUAAUAAUUGGUUUAAACUGGAUUCAAUCAGUCAUUAAAAUGUGGUGGUCAGGAUUAUAAUCAAACAAAUUAUAAUAAUGGAAAUAUUCAGAUUUUAAAACAAUGAAGUGUAUUGUGGGAACAGGGAAGCCAUCUGGGAAAUACUGCUAUUAUAGCCAAGGAUAUAAACACUCAUUUGUAACAGUGGCAUUG
rnacentral:lncRNA from 1 species